rnacentral:lncRNA from 1 species
CUUCACCCUGUGUCCUUACAUGGCCUUCUCUUUGUGCAAGUGGCCUUGGUAUCUCUUUCUUUUCUUAUAGGACAUCAGUCACAUUGGGUUAGGGCUCUAUUCUUAUGACCUCUCUGAGUCUUAAUUACUUGCCUAAAGCCCUAUUUCCAUAUACAGUUAUAAUUAGGGGGUAGGGCUUCGAUAUAUGAAUUUGGGGAGGACAUAAUACAGUAAUAAUGGAUAUCAAAGGAUAAUCUUUUAGGAUACUCCCUUUCUAAUCAGAGUGUGAUAUGCUGAAGUAGAAAUAAACUGGUAAGUAAGCAUAACAUAAUGGUUUUAUUGUCAGAUUGGUCAAUACUAGUUUGGCAUUUAAUACCUGACUCUCCCUAUCAUUAUUACUGACUGUGUUGGGUCUGAUUGAGUGAUUGCAUUUAUUUUUCUUGUUUCUCAUUUCUAGAAUGCAAGGGCUCUCUAGCUUCAGACAAAUCACAUACAAGAACAAAGUACAACACUGGAGACCUUGAAGGAAAAGGAAAAAAAGAAGAAGAAGAAGAAGAAGAUUGUGUAAAGACUUUUGGAAAACCCUUGCUCAUGAAGGCCAUCUCCCUCCCUCGGGCUGACCGCAGAAUUCUACAGGACAGCCUGAAGACUAAGGCCAUGACCCUGGUACAGAGCAGGUGGCCUGAAAGAGCCAACUCGCAACACCUAAGAAUUAUUAUGUCCUCGGUGUAACUUGCUUUCCAGCUCCCGUGCUGCCGACAGGCUUUGAAGGAGAG